rnacentral:rRNA from 1 species
UAGGGAAUAUUGGACAAUGGGCGAAAGCCUGAUCCAGCCAUGCCGCGUGUGUGAAGAAGGUCUUCGGAUUGUAAAGCACUUUAAGUUGGGAGGAAGGGCAGUAAGCGAAUACCUUGCUGUUUUGACGUUACCGACAGAAUAAGCACCGGCUAACUCUGUGCCAGCAGCCGCGGUAAUACAGAGGGUGCAAGCGUUAAUCGGAAUUACUGGGCGUAAAGCGCGCGUAGGUGGUUCGUUAAGUUGAAUGUGAAAGCCCCGGGCUCGACCUGGGAACUGCAUCCAAAACUGGCGGGCUAGAGUAGAGCAGGGGGUGGUGGGAUUUCCUGUGUAGCGGUGAAAUGCGUAGAUAUAGGAAGGAACACCAGUGGCGAGGGCGACCACCUGGGCUCAUACUGACACUGAGGUGCGAAAGCGUGGGGAGCAAACAGA